rnacentral:tRNA from 1 species
GCCUGGGGGGCUCAGUCGGUUAAGCAUCUGACUUCGGCUCAGGUCAUGAUCUCACAGUUUGUGGGUUCGAGUCCCGCAUCGGGCU